UACGGGGGGGGCAAGCGUUGUUCGGAAUUACUGGGCGUAAAGGGCUCGUAGGUGGCCAACUAAGUCAGACGUGAAAUCCCUCGGCUUAACCGGGGAACUGCGUCUGAUACUGGAUGGCUUGAGUUUGGGAGAGGGAUGCAGAAUUCCAGGUGUAGCGGUGAAAUGCGUAGAUAUCUGGAGGAAUACCGGUGGCGAAGGCGGCAUCCUGGACCGACAUUGACGCUGAGGAGCGAAAGCUAGGGGAGCAAACGGG
rnacentral:rRNA from 1 species